rnacentral:rRNA from 1 species
AUCAUGGCUCAGGAUGAACGCUAGCGGCAGGCUUAACACAUGCAAGUCAGGGGUUAGCACGGAGGAAGCUUGCUUCCUGGGUGACGACCGGCGCACGGGUGAGUAACGCGUAUCCUACCUACCCAUAACUCGGGGCACAGCCGCUCGAAAAGAGUGAUUGAUUCCCGAUAUGUCAUUAGAGUAGAUCUAAUGAUGAAAGAUUUAUCGGUAUCGGAUGGGGAUGCGUGACAUUAGAUAGUAGGCGGGGUAACGGCCCACCUAGUCUACGAUGUCUAGGGGUUCUGAGAGGAAGGCCCCCCACACUGGAACUGAGACACGGUCCAGACUCCUACGGGAGGCAGCAGUGAGGAAUAUUGGUCAAUGGUCGGAAGACUGAACCAGCCAAGUAGCGUGAAGGAUGAAGGUUCUAUGGAUUGUAAACUUCUUUUAUACGGGAAUAAAACCUCCCACGUGUGGGAGCUUGUAUGUACCGUAUGAAUAAGCAUCGGCUAACUCCGUG